UAUUAUAUGAUACUUUUGUGUCUUUUUUAGGAGCUUUAAAGUGAGGCCAGGCAUUGUAUUGAAAGACAGCUGGUGAUAUUCAUUAAAACAUUUGCUUUUGUGUUCUGCAUGAGAGAGUAAGUCAUACAGGUUUGAGGGUGAGCAAAAGAUGACAGCAUUUUCAUCUUUGAAACCAUGCAUUUGAGAGGUGGAUAAGCCCACUAGAGUACAGUUCUCAUUCUUCAGUGUCUGGACUUUGUAAAGGCUCGUCUAGUCUGUUUAUUCACAGUAGUAUUAACCUGCCAUUUUGUUCAGCACAAUCCACUGAGCACGUCACAACAGAGCACUUCCUUUUCACUAACCCCAGCAAAUCCACUCAGCCCUCAACCAGGGGCUUCCUCACUUGGUGUGUGCUGUCUGCGGCUAUUAAUACAAACACAACAGGAUGGCUAUGGUACUAGCAGCGGUGUUGUCUCGUACAUGCAGCAUUUGCUCUCUGAGGGCUGUUUGGGUCGGUCAGGAGGCAAGGCAGGACUGGGUGACCCAUUAUUGCUUCCCUGCAGCUCUCGGUGGAGAUGAUCCAGCAGAUGACAUAAAAGAGUGCGUCUGGACUGAAGGCUGUCUGACUCCCUUGCCAAAGUGAACAGAGUGUUUUCCUGAACUCCUCAACCAGAGACCUGCACAACAGAAAAAAGGACCCCCCCCUCCCCCCUCGUCAUCCAGUGGAGAGGACCUUACACACUGCUGUCCCCUUGGCUCCUUGUGUGGUACAUCCUCCUUCCUGCCGUUUUUCCACUUCGUAAGGCUACAGAGGGCAGUUCCUUG